UAAGAUUUUAAGUUAAUACAAACUAGUAGCCUUCAAAGCUGCCAAUAAAAAUUUUUUUAAAUCUUAA
rnacentral:tRNA from 1 species